rnacentral:pre_miRNA from 1 species
UGUUAAAAUUUUUAUCAAUUUUUACUAUUAAAAUUUGAUAUAGCUGACGGAAUAAUCAUAUAAUUUACAUUUAACGUACUACAUAUACAUUAUGCUGACAUAUAAUAAACGAUUUUUAACUGUAAAAAUAGAUAAAAUAUUUAACA